rnacentral:snRNA from 1 species
AUGUGUGCUAGUGCAGCUGGCUGAGCAAAGAUUUUAAAAUCAGGGGCAGCACUCACUCUGGCACAUGUAUAUUAAUACUGGAAAGAUAUAAAGAUUAGCAUGGCCUCUGCAUAAGGAUGACAUACAAAUUCAUGAAGUGUUCCAUAUCUUA